rnacentral:lncRNA from 1 species
GUAGUCUGUAAGCAUCCUACUUUAGUAAGUAUGGAGUGAUUCCCUCUGGCAGUAUCACAAUCACAGGAAUCCCUGCAUCUCACUGGAGCAUAUUACGCUAAGAAAUCCCUCAUUUUGGAUGAUUUACCAACUCAGGAUCUCAAAGGCAAUAACUUCAAGCUGUCUUAAGAAGCAAUGAAAUCCAGUGGACAGUGGAGCAGGAUGUCUAUGAAGAGCAUGAGCCUCAUUUACGAUUGCUUGCAUGUUUGGUGCAAAGGAUCAGCAUGGACUCAGCUAGACAGGAUGGAUGCAGAAUGGUGCAGAGAAGAAACAGAUGGGCAACCAGCAAAGCAGCAGUGGGACAAACUUUCUAGAUCUGUUCUCACCUUUUUCUGUGGAGGCCAGAUAUUGCACCUAGAGAGAAGAAAAAUCCAGGAGACAACUGGUACACUUCAAGAAGUUCAAUGAAUUUGAUUAAUAACGGACAUGACUUGAAGAAUUAAUAAAAUGAUAAUCUGUCUGCCUCUGUGCA